rnacentral:rRNA from 1 species
CAGCAGCCGCGGUAAUUCCAGCUCCAAUAGCGUAUAUUAAAGUUGUUGCAGUUAAAAAGCUCGUAGUUGAAUUUCGGGAUCAAUAUAUCGGUCGUGCCUUGGUACGUACUGGUAUCAUUGGUUUCUCCUUUCUGACGAACCAUGAUGUCAUUAAUUUGGUGUUAUGGGAAGUUAGGACUGUUACUUUGAAAAAAUUAGAGUGUUUAAAGCAGGCUUUAGCUUGAAUACAUUAGCAUGGAAUAAUGAAAUAGGACGUUCGAACCUAUUUUGUUGGUUUCUAGGAUCAACGUAAUGAUUAAUAGGGAUAGUUGGGGGCAUUAGUAUUCAAUUGUCAGAGGUGAAAUUCUUGGAUUUAUUGAAGACUAACUACUGCGAAAGCAUUUGCCAAGGAUGUUUUCAUUAAUCAAGAACGAAAGUUAGGGGAUCGAAGACGAUCAGAUACCGUCGUAGUCUUAACCAUAAACUAUGCCGACUAGGGAUCGGAUGAUGUUAAUUUUUUAAUGACUCAUUCGGCGCCUUACG